AAUAAUUAUAUUUUCAAAGAGCGUAACAGAGAUAAUAUCAAUUGUUAUAUU
rnacentral:sRNA from 1 species